rnacentral:rRNA from 1 species
CCUACGGGAGACAGCAGUGGGGAAUAUUGCACAAUGGGGGAAACCCUGAUGCAGCGACGCCGCGUGAGUGAAGAAGUAUUUCGGUACGUAAAGCCCUAUCAGCAGGGAAGAAAAUGACGGUACCUGACCAAGAAGCCCCGGCUAACUACGUGCCAGCAGCCGCGGUAAUAAGUAGGGGGCAAGCGGUAUCCGGAUUUACUGGGUGUAAAGGGAGCGCAGACGGCAGCGGAAGUCUGAAGUGAAAUGCCAUGGCUUAACCAUGGCACUGCAUUGGAAACUGUGCAGCUGGAGUGCAGGAGAGGUAAGCGGAAUUCCUAGUGUAGCGGUGAAAUGCGUAGAUAUUAAGAGGAAAACCAGUGGCGAAGGCGGCUUACUGGACUGUAACUGACGUUGAGGCUCGAAAGCGUGGGGAGCGAACAGGAUUAGAUACCCUUGUAGUC